GAUGAACGCUGGCGGCGUGCUUAACACAUGCAAGUCGAACGGUGAAGGCGGAGCUUGCUCUGCUGGACCAGUGGCGAACGGGUGAGUAACACGUGAGCAAUCUGCCCCUGACUCUGGGAUAAGCGCUGGAAACGGCGUCUAAUACUGGAUACGAGCUGCGAAGGCAUAUUCAGCAGCUGGAAAGAACUUCGGUCAGGGAUGGGCUCGCGGCCUAUCAGCUUGUUGGUGAGGUAACGGCUCACCAAGGCGUCGACGGGUAGCCGGCCUGAGAGGGUGACCGGCCACACUGGGACUGCGACACGGCCCAGACUCCUACGGGAGGCAGCGGUGGGGAAUAUUGCACAAUGGGCGAAAGCCUGAUGCAGCAGCGCCGCGUGAGGGACGACGGCCUUCGGGUUAUAAACCUCUUUUAGCAGAGAAGAAGCGAAAGUGACGGUACCUGCAGAAAAAGCGCCGGCUAACUACGUG
rnacentral:rRNA from 1 species